UCAAACCAUCAGCACGUCUAUAAUUCCAACCACCACACACGCCCACUUUUAAUAUUUGCCUGCAACAGUACACUAGUACUGAUUUAAAUAGAAUAAUAAAAAAGUGCUGUGAGUGAUUUUGAUAUCGACCAAAUCCAAAGUUAAAAUAUACCAAGUUGAUUGCAGAAAUUUCCAACAAAAUCUAUAUUGCCGGAACGAUAAGUUAGGAAGAAAGAAGGACCCAAACUAAAAUUUGAAGAUUGUAAAUUGAAAUGGAAUAAAGUGCAUUAAUGGUACAACCCGAAUGUUUAUUUUCGCAUAGUUUUCGCGUCAAAUACUUUCUCUCGGGCUCGCAGUGAUAAAUAAUAGACUUAUAUUAAUAAACUUAUAAAUAUCAUAGUGCACACACUAAAUAAACGCUUCAAAAGCGGAAUGUUAACUUUUUAUUUGAUAAUUUGCCAACGCACUUUUAUGUUAUGCAAAAUUAAAUGAGAUUAUAAGUAUAUGUAUGAAAAGAGUAAACAUAUAUGUGGAAGUGAAUUGAGUAUAAAAGAGAAGAAGAGAAGUAAUAAAAGAGAAUUGGACAAUAUUUGAAAAAGUUGACGGCAAAGGAAUUUUUACGUCACCAGUUGCUGUUUCGUUUUGUUUUGCAAAUUCGCAGAUUUGACUCAACGCACAAUCACAUACACUAGCAUUCGAAUAAACUGCUAAACUGCCUGGGAAGAAUACAAGUGAAAACAAAAAAAUUCUUGAUUGUUUAAGAGGGACUCUUGGUUUGUUCCACGUGAAUGUCUAGCAAAACACAUUAUCCAGCGUAUCAGCCGAUACCCACAACCACUGUCGUCACCAUGGACAAUCCGGCCUUGACGCGAAGCACUAAUAGCGCAGACGACAUUGACAAUGCAGGAGCGGGUGCCAUUCCAUCCACUUGCUCCUCCCAACAGCUAAUGCCUUCGUCCGAUAGCGACAGCGUAGAUGACACAGAAAGGCAGCGACAGAACAGUACGACAAUAAAUUGUGCUCCUGGUGCAAGACGCUGCAUAACACGGAGCCAAUGGUUUACAGUGGGCGUACUGUGCUUUGUAAAUUUAAUAAAUUACAUGGACCGCUUUACAAUAGCAGGUGUCUUAGAUGCUAUACAAUCAGAUUUCCAUAUGCCCGACGAUGAUGCAGGUCUUCUGCAAACGGUUUUUGUGAUAUCCUAUAUGGUGUGUGCGCCGAUUUUCGGAUACAUGGGUGAUCGAUAUUCAAGACGAUGGAUCAUGGCCAUCGGUGUAUUCCUGUGGUCAACAACAACGCUGCUGGGCUCAUUUAUGAAAGAUUCCGGCUGGUUCAUGCUAUUUCGCGCCCUAGUGGGCGUGGGAGAGGCCUCCUACAGUACGAUUGCACCAACAAUUAUAUCAGAUUUGUUUGUGCACGACAUGCGUUCGAAAAUGUUGGCCGUUUUCUACUUCGCUAUACCGGUUGGUUCUGGUUUUGGGUAUAUUGUGGGUUCUGAAACAGCAAAGCUGGCUGGUGAUUGGCGUUGGGCGUUACGUGUUACACCUGCCUUGGGUAUUGCGGCAGUUGCUUUAAUUAUGCUCAUCAAGGAUCCUGAACGAGGUGAAAGUGAAGGCUCACACAAUCUCUCACACACCACCUACACCGAGGAUGUGAAAUAUUUGGUCAAGAAUCGCUCAUUUAUGCUGUCCACAGCUGGCUUCACUUGUGUAGCAUUUGUAGCAGGAGCUUUGGCGUGGUGGGGACCGAAAUUCAUCUAUCUGGGCUUAAAAAUGCAGCCAGGCAAUGAAAAUCUCGAACAAAAUGACGUCUCGUACAAGUUUGGGAUGAUAACAAUGGUAGCUGGCCUGAUUGGUGUACCAUUGGGUUCGAUUAUGGCAACCCGUUUGAGACCCAUUAUCGAGAACUGUGAUCCAUACAUUUGUGCUGCAGGUUUAUUGAGUUCGGCGCCAAUGGUCUAUUUGGCACUGGUUCUUUCACAAUCAAGUGCCACAUGGUGUUUCUUUUCUAUAUUCGUUGCUCAGUUGGCGUUAAAUCUUUGUUGGUCCAUUGUUGCAGAUAUAUUAUUGUAUGUGGUUGUACCCACACGAAGAUCAACUGCAGAAGCCUUCCAGAUAUUGAUUUCGCAUGCACUGGGAGAUGCCGGCAGUCCCUUUUUGGUGGGAGUGCUUUCAGAAGCGAUCAAAAAACACCUUCGCACAACCGUCCACAGAGCUUCCGAAUUCAUUAGCAGCGGCGCUCUCGAAAGUUUAUCUCUGACAGUAGCUGAAACCAUAAACUCAACAAUUGCCAAUGCGACAACGAUACCAUCAACCACUACAGAAGUUCUAACAACUACAGAAUCAAUAGUAUCAAGUACCCCUAUGACUCUGCACGGUCUAAGUGCGCACGAGGACACCGAUUUGACAAAGUUCGAGGCUCUCCAAUAUGCUCUGUUCUCAACAAGUUUUGUUGAGGUUAUUGGUGGCAUUUUCUUCCUAAUUACAGCUGCCUUUAUUAUUAGUGAUAAAAACAAAGCUAGUCAAGCUAUUCGUGUCUUUGAACUGACAGACUUUAUAUCCGAUUGCGACAAAAUUGACGAAAACAUUGAUUCGUCAAGUUUUUAACAUAUACCUUGUAUAUGUACAUUGAAAAGUUACAUUUUAGUACAAGUUAGAAACAACACUAGAAGGACAUCAAGCUGUGCCAAAUCAUGCCCCUGUUAAUAUUGAUGAAAUUUCAUAAAUUCCAUCGUACAUCCUCCAGCAACCAAAUUAUUUAAAAACAAAAUCCGUUUUUACUUCGCCAUCUUCUUCAUUCAUACUUUAGGCCACAUUCGAAAUGAAUGAGUGAUGAUAGAUGCAACCGACUGAUAAACUUAGAAAACAAAAUCAUUUUUCAUUUUGUUCAAUACGGCAAUGCGUAGAUCAUAUUUACAUAGAGAAUUAUUGAAUCAAUGACAUGUGUUUUCCUUUACAUAGUCACAUGGGCAUUGGCGUAUUAACGUGCCCGUCCUCAGGAGAUACGUGUUCCUAAACAAGAGAAAUGAGACCAACUGAAAAGUAUGUUGAACACUACUUGGAAAUAUCCUUACAUCAGAUUAUAUCUCUAAACUAAUUUAUCUCAGUUUUAUUUCUACAUGCAUACAUAUAUGAUGUUGUAGAAUUUUUCGUUAUUAUUUUAUAGCGGUUCUUGCAAAUUUGUUUUAUUUAUCUUGUUUAAUAGCGGUAAAAAAGGAAAACCUAUUAUAAGUAUUUUUUUAUAAUCUCUAAAAGUGAGACGCUUUUAUAAUUUUGGGAAUGCCAUUUUUAAAUCCUCAAUUAAGAAUCCAUUUUAACCCCUUCGAUGCUUAACAAGGUAUACUUUAUAAGGUUGCCUAUGCAAACGAAGUAAUUAGCGCAAUAAUGCCUUAUUAUGUGCGCACCCGCACUUCUCAUCAAUAAGUCCUUGGAAUAAGCAAACAAACAAUCACCUCUCAUCUACUAGCUAUACAUUUGUACUUGUAAUUAUUUUAGUAUAAAUUGUCGCUAUUAGGGUAAACAUCAUCAAUUGCUUGUAAAUAUUAGCCUCAUAACAAAAUUCUCAUUUUACUUUAGUCUUGAACCCCUGUAUAGUUUAAAGUUAGUUAGUGGUUUUUUUUUUACUUUCAAACAACAAAUGAAACAUGGAAGCAAUGAAAGCAAAAGCAGCAACGCAUGCUCAUUACAAAAAUAAAACUCCAAAUCAAAUAUGCUUUUUAUAUUUUUCUUUCUUUUUAAGAACAUCCAAGAUCGGUCCACUUGUGUUUUUUUUAUUCUUCCAUUUAAAAGUCAUUAGAUCUAAGAUUGUUUUUUAUCACUCAACUCAAUGUAUUAUUAUGCAGAAAAUGAAGUAAGAAUUAGGAAAUUCUCUGUAACAUAAUUUUAUUUUAUCCUAUUAUUAUAAAAAGACCUUGUUGUGGUAGAGUUUUAUGGAAAAGAAAAACCCCAAAUUAAAAAAUAAGAGCAUAAAUCAUUUUGAUACUUAUACAAAUGUGAAAUAAAGAAAUGAGAAAUGUAAAAGACUGUAAUGUUUUGCAAAUGUAAAAACUACAAGAAAGAAAUUGAAUUGAAAGAAAGAAUAAACAAAUAAAAAACCAAGAUUAUAUAAGAUUUAAUUUUAACCAUAAAAUAAAAGAAAAUUCUAAAUUGAAGUGGAAA